UACAUGUGGGGCAAGCGUUGUUCGGAUUCACUGGGCGUAAAGGGUGCGUAGGCGGUCGGGUAAGUCUGAUGUGAAAUCUCACAGCUUAACUGUGAAACUGCAUUGGAUACUAUCCGGCUCGAGGAAUGGAGGGGGAGACUGGAAUACUUGGUGUAGCAUGAAAUGCGCAGAUAUCAGGAGGAACACCGGGUGGCGAAGGCGGGGUCU
rnacentral:rRNA from 1 species